rnacentral:rRNA from 1 species
UGCAAGUUCGAGCGGACCGAAGGGAGCUUGCUCCUUUAGGUUAGCGGCGGACGGGUGAGUAACACGUGGGCAACCUGCCCUGCAGACUGGGAUAACUCCGGGAAACCGGGGCUAAUACCGGAUAGUUCUUUUCCUCUCAUGAGGAAAAGCGGAAAGGCGGCUUCGGCUGCCACUUACAGAUGGACCCGCGGCGCAUUAGCUGGUUGGUGAGGUAACGGCUCACCAAGGCGACGAUGCGUAGCCGACCUGAGAGGGUGAUCGGCCACACUGGGACUGAGACACGGCCCAGACUCCUACGGGAGGCAGCAGUAGGGAAUCUUCCGCAAUGGACGAAAGUCUGACGGAGCAACGCCGCGUGAGCGAAGAAGGUCUUCGGAUCGUAAAGCUCUGUUGUCAGGGAAGAACAAGUGCCGUUCGAACAGGGCGGUACCUUGACGGUACCUGACGAGGAAGCCACGGCUAACUACGUGCCAGCAGCCGCGGUAAU